GAGGCUCGAACCUGUUCGUUAGCCGUCUCAUAAUUUGACCCAACAUCAACGGCACGGGAGCCGAUUUCUUGUGUCCCCCGCGGGAUGAAGAUAGGCACCCACCUAUUUAUUUAGGGAUCAAUGUCGGAGGCGGAGACGGCAGGUUGGGGCCUCG
rnacentral:other from 1 species